GAACUCUGGUGAAGACAUUAAAGAGUUUAUUUUUCAGGAAAAUAUUCUCCCCAAAGAAAGCUUACUGCAAGAGCCAGAGGUGGCAGGAAAGAAGGAAAAAGGGACAGGUUUUGCCAGAUUACAGAAGAAUUCCUUUUUGGAUAAAGAAUAGAAUGCCGACUUUGAUGCUAGCUGGACUUGUCCACCAGUCAAUAUAAAACAAGGAAACAUUGUCAUUUAAACAGUUCCAGUAGGAGCUCCGGACAGAGCAACACUGCAUUUUAAGGGGGAAAUUGUACACCCAUGCCAUGGUAUUUGAGAAUCUAGGGAUUCAUGAUGCUCUCCGGAUCUUUCCAUCAUGGGUAUCAAAGGUUUACUGUCAUCACCUAGAGGCAGAAGGCUAUAUGCUGGUCCAGGACUUUGGCACUGGAGAGACCUGAGUUCAAAUCCCAGCUCCACUAGUGGUUUGUAAUUAUAAUGAGGUGCCCAGUUCAAGACCCAUCUUCUCCAGAUCUAACUUCUAAUUUACAGUAAAUACAGAAGACAGAGGAACCCAUCAAAUGACAUCUAGAGGAAACAACCAAGAGAAAAUCCAGAAGGUAGAAACAUUCUGUGGGACAACAAGCCUAUCUCUUCAACAAGUUAUUGUCAAUAAAAGGGACUGUGAUUCCCUGAAUUGGGAUGCUAGACUAGACUGACCAGCUAUAAAGAACAUGUUUAGACCACCUGGAGAAAUCUGAAUAUUAGAUUAGAAAUCUGGGUAUUAGAUAAGAUUUAAAUUUAGUGAAAUGGAAAAGUAGAGAUGAA
rnacentral:lncRNA from 10 species